rnacentral:rRNA from 1 species
GUCACGCUGUAAACGAUGUCGAUUUGGAGGUUGUUCCCGUGAGGAGUGGCUUCCGGAGCUAACGCGUUAAAUCGACCGCCUGGGGAGUACGGCCGCAAGGUUAAAACUCAAAUGAAUUGACGGGGGCCCGCACAAGCGGUGGAGCAUGUGGUUUAAUUCGAUGCAACGCGAAGAACCUUACCUACUCUUGACAUCCAGAGAAUUUAGCAGAGAUGCUUUAGUGCCUUCGGGAACUCUGAGACAGGUGCUGCAUGGCUGUCGUCAGCUCGUGUUGUGAAAUGUUGGGUUAAGUCCCGCAACGAGCGCAACCCUUAUCCUUUGUUGCCAGCACAUUAUGGUGGGAACUCAAAGGAGACUGCCGGUGAUAAACCGGAGGAAGGUGGGGAUGACGUCAAGUCAUCAUGGCCCUUACGAGUAGGGCUACACACGUGCUACAAUGGCGUAUACAAAGAGAAGCGACCUCGCGAGAGCAAGCGGAACUCAUAAAGUACGUCGUAGUCCGGAUUGGAGUCUGCAACUCGACUCCAUGAAGUCGGAAUCGCUAGUAAUCGUAGAUCAGAAUGCUACGGUGAAUACGUUCCCGGGCCUUGUACACACCGCCCGUCACACCAUGGGAGUGGGUUGCAAAAGAAGUAGGUAGCUUAACCUUCGGGAGGGCGCUUACCACUUUGUGAUUCAUGACUGGGGUGAAGUCGUAACAAGGUAACCA